rnacentral:rRNA from 1 species
UACGUAGGGGGCAAGCGUUGUCCGGAAUUAUUGGGCGUAAAGAGCUCGUAGGCGGCCUGUCGCGUCUGCUGUGAAAGCCCGGGGCUCAACCCCGGGUCUGCAGUGGAUACGGGCAGGCUAGAGUCCGGCAGGGGAGACUGGAAUUCCUGGUGUAGCGGUGAAAUGCGCAGAUAUCAGGAGGAACACCAAUGGCGAAGGCAGCUCACUGGGACGGUAUUGACGCUGAGACGCGAAAGCGUGGGGAGCAAACAGG